CCGAGACUCAGUGAAAUUGAACUCGCUGUGAAGAUGCAGUGUACCCGCGGCAAGACGGAAAGACCCCGUGAACCUUUACUAUAGCUUGACACUGAACAUUGAGCCUUGAUGUGUAGGAUAGGUGGGAGGCUUUGAAGCGUGGACGCCAGUCUGCGUGGAGCCAACCUUGAAAUACCACCCUUUAAUGUUUGAUGUUCUAACGUUGGCCCCUGACCGGGGUUGCGGACAGUGUCUGGUGGGUAGUUUGACUGGGGCGGUCUCCUCCCAAAGCGUAACGGAGGAGCACGAAGGUUAGCUAAUCCUGGUCGGACAUCAGGAGGUUAGUGCAAUGGCAUAAGCUAGCUUGACUGCGAGCGUGACGGCGCGAGCAGGUGCGAAAGCAGGUCAUAGUGAUCCGGUGGUUCUGAAUGGAAGGGCCAUCGCUCAACGGAUAAAAGGUACUCCGGG
rnacentral:rRNA from 1 species